GCUGGCGGCGUGCCUAACACAUGCAAGUCGAACGAGAAAGUGGAGCAAUCCAUGAGUAAAGUGGCGCACGGGUGAGUAACACGUGACUAACCUACCCUCGAGUGGGGAAUAACCUCGGGAAACCGAGGCUAAUACCGCAUAAUGCCUACGGGUCAAAAGAGCAAUCCGCUUGAAGAGGGGGUCGCGGCCGAUUAGCUAGUUGGCGGGGUAACGGCCCACCAAGACGAUGAUCGGUAUCCGGCCUGAGAGGGCGCACGGACACACUGGAACUGAAACACGGUCCAGACUCCUACGGGAGGCAGCAGUGGGGAAUUUUGCGCAAUGGGGGAAACCCUGACGCAGCAACGCCGCGUGGAGGAUGAAGUCCUUCGGGACGUAAACUCCUUUCGAUCGGGACGAUUAUGACGGUACCGGAGGAAGAAGCCCCGGCUAACUUCGUGCCAGCAGCCGCGGUAAUACGAGGGGGGCGAGCGUUGUUCGGAAUUAUUGGGCGUAAAG
rnacentral:rRNA from 1 species